rnacentral:antisense_RNA from 1 species
GAAAGUACGACAUUGCUCACAUUGCUUCCAGUGUUUAUUUUUAUAGCCAACUUGAAUGUUGGCUUUUUUUU